GGCACAGCUGUGUGGUUCAAGGGUAGAGUGCAUGCUUUGUGCGCAGGAGGUCCUAGGUUCAGUUCCCAGCAUUUCCA
rnacentral:tRNA from 1 species